AAAAAAUUUGGCGGUAUUUUAGUCUAUUCAGAGGAACCUGUUUUGUAAUCGAUAAUCCACGAUGUACCUCACUUAAAUUUGUAAUCAGUUUAUAUACCGUCGUUAUUAAAAUAUUUUAUAAGAAUAAUAAUUUUUGAGAUUUUUUUUUAAAAAAUAUAUCAGAUCAAGGUGUAGCUUAUAUUUAAGUAUAAAUGGGUUACAAUAAAUUUAUUUAUAUGAAUAUAAAUUUGAAAUAUUUAUUGAAGGUGGAUUUGAAAGUAAAAUUAUAUAGAUAAAU
rnacentral:rRNA from 1 species